AGUGAACGCUGGCGGUAGGCCUAACACAUGCAAGUCGAACGGCAGCACAGUAAGAGCUUGCUCUUACGGGUGGCGAGUGGCGGACGGGUGAGGAAUACAUCGGAAUCUACUUUUUCGUGGGGGAUAACGUAGGGAAACUUACGCUAAUACCGCAUACUACCUACGGGUGAAAGCAGGGGAUCUUCGGACCUUGCGCGAUUGAAUGAGCCGAUGUCGGAUUAGCUAGUUGGCGGGGUAAAGGCCCACCAAGGCGACGAUCCGUAGCUGGUCUGAGAGGAUGAUCAGCCACACUGGAACUGAGACACGGUCCAGACUCCUACGGGAGGCAGCAGUGGGGAAUAUUGGACAAUGGGCGAAAGCCUGAUCCAGCAAUACCGCGUGGGUGAAGAAGGCCUUCGGGUUGUAAAGCCCUUUUGUUAGGAAAGAAAAGAAGCAGGUUAAUACGCCGAUGUUCUGACGGUACCCAAAGAAUAAGCACCGGCUAACUUCGUG
rnacentral:rRNA from 1 species